GAUGAACGCUGGCGGCGUGCCUAGUACAUGCAAGUCGAGCGAACGGACGAGAAGCUUGCUUCUCUGAUGUUAGCGGCGGACGGGUGAGUAACACGUGGAUAACCUACCUAUAAGACUGGGAUAACUUCGGGAAACCGGAGCUAAUACCGGAUAAUAUUUUGAACCGCAUGGUUCAAAAGUGAAAGACGGUCUUGUUGUCACUUAUAGAUGGAUCCGCGCUGCAUUAGCUAGUUGGUAAGGUAACGGCUUACCAAGGCAACGAUGCAUAGCCGACCUGAGAGGGUGAUCGGCCACACUGGAACUGAGACACGGUCCAGACUCCUACGGGAGGCAGCAGUAGGGAAUCUUCCGCAAUGGGCGAAAGCCUGACGGAGCAACGCCGCGUGAGUGAUGAAGGUCUUCGGAUCGUAAAACUCUGUUAUUAGGGAAGAACAUAUGUGUAAGUAACUGUGCACAUCUUGACGGUACCUAAUCAGAAAGCCACGGCUAACUACGUG
rnacentral:rRNA from 1 species